UAAAAGAUUUUGAUUUUUGAUUGUAUAUUUUUCUUACAUAAUUUUUAUGCAUGUGAAUUUUUGUUAGUAAUUAAUUUCUUAAUGAUUAGUUUUUUAUUUUCAGUGUUUUAUUUUUAUUUAAUUAUUUUUUUAAUUUGAGAAAUUUUUUUACAUCAGAAUAAUUUUGUGCCAGCAUUCGCGGUUAUACAUUAUGGUGAGGAAAAAUUUUUUGGAUUUCAGAUUUUUUUUUAUUGUUUGUAUUUGGGUGAAAUCAAUAUUUAUUUUUUUUUAAAAUUUUCUGAAAAGGCCUUUUAAAAACCAGGAUUAGAUACCCUGUUAUUUUGAAUUAGUUUUUUAUUUCCGGGUAGUAUAUUUUAUUUGAAAUUCAAUGGAUCUGGCGGUUUUUAAAUCUUUUUAGAGGAACCUGUAUUUUAAAUGAUAGUCCACGAUAAAUGUUACCUUUAUUUUCUUGUAUAUCUCUGUCGUUGAAUGUAUUGAAAAUUCUAUUUUCUUUUUAUUUAUUUUAUUUAUGUUAGGUCAAGGUGCAGUUAUAUGUAGGUCAAUAUGGGUUACAUUUAUUUUUGUUAUUGGAUUUUUUUUGUUUAUAAUUAAUGAAUUUGGAUUUAAAAGUAAUAUUUUUUUUUUAAUUUUAUGAAUUUUGCUCUUAAUAAUGUACAUAUCGCCCGUCAUUCUCAUAAAGUGAGACAAGUCGUAACAAAGUAGAUGUAUCGGAAGAUGUAUCUAGAAUUA
rnacentral:ncRNA from 1 species